rnacentral:rRNA from 1 species
AGUGAACGCUGGCGGUAGGCCUAACACAUGCAAGUCGAACGGCAGCACAGUAAGAGCUUGCUCUUACGGGUGGCGAGUGGCGGACGGGUGAGGAAUACAUUGGAAUCUACUUUUUCGUGGGGGAUAACGUAGGGAAACUUACGCUAAUACCGCAUACGACCUACGGGUGAAAGCAGGGGAUCUUCGGACCUUGCGCGAUUGAAUGAGCCGAUGUCGGAUUAGCUAGUUGGCGGGGUAAAGGCCCACCAAGGCGACGAUCCGUAGCUGGUCUGAGAGGAUGAUCAGCCACACUGGAACUGAGGCACGGUCCAGACUCCUACGGGAGGCAGCAGUGGGGAAUAUUGGACAAUGGGCGCAAGCCUGAUCCAGCCAUACCGCGUGGGUGAAGAAGGCCUUCGGGUUGUAAAGCCCUUUUGUUGGGAAAGAAAAGCAGCAGGUUAAUACCCCGCUGUUCUGACGGUACCCAAAGAAUAAGCACCGGCUAACUUCGUG